rnacentral:rRNA from 1 species
UACGACUACAUAUCAGGCAUAUCAAUAAGCGGAGGAAAAGAAACUAACAAGGAUUCCCUUAGUAACGGCGAGUGAAGCGGGAAGAGCUCAAAUUUGAAAUCUUCAAGGGUUCUACCUUGACGAAUUGUAGUUUAUAAGAAGUGUUUUCUGUUAGAUGGAGUAGCAAAAGUUCUUGGAAUAGGGACAUCAUAGAGGGUGAGAAUCCCGUAUUUGGUCAUUCCUUCUAGCUUUGUGAUACACUUUCAAAGAGUCGGAUUGUUUGGGAAUGCAGUCCAAAAUGGGUGGUAAAUUUCAUCUAAAGCUAAAUAUUGGCGAGAGACCGAUAGCGAACAAGUACCGUGAGGGAAAGAUGAAAAGAACUUUGAAAAGAGAGUUAAACAGUACGUGAAAUUGUCAAAAGGGAAGCGUUUGACACCAGUGUUGUUUUCCGAAAAUCAAUUAUAGAAGGGUUUUGUUUCUGAUGAGUGAUGACCUUCAUCAGCUUCCUUCAUCUCUUUCCGAAGUCUUUUGUAAUGCACUUUUCGGUUAACAAGUCAACAUCAAUUUCUUUUGUUGUAAAAGAGUAAUGCGGAAGGUGGCUUUACUUUCGGAGUAAAGUGUUUAUAGCCCUAUAACUUCUAGCAAUCGGAGAGAUUGAGGUCUGCAGCGUAGAUCCUUCGGGGUUAGAUACAGUUUGUGCUAAGUUAUAGCUUUUCAUAGACAACUUGUUGACUAUGUUUAGUCAUUGUAGCUUACUCGCUUAGUGCUAUUUUACCUACGCUUAGGAUGUUGAUCUACAGAGCGAGAGU